UUUACAACCUUUUCCUUAUAUGUCAUUGAAGUUAUGAUGGUCAAAACAUUUCAUUUAAUGAUUUCAACCAUUUCUCCUAGUAAAUAUCAAAAUUAGGUGACUCACAUUUCACCACCUUUUACAAAUGGAUUGAAUGGCAAAUUCAGUUAAUGAUUUCUUUUUUUUCCCAAAGGGCAUAAUUUACUACCAUGGGGGGAUUUAAGACACUUGUAAAGUCUAUCUUCUUUGUGGCAGAGUGGGAAUGUGUGGGGAGCAUGUUUGAAUAUAUGAUGAAAGGAGGAGGCUAAAUGUUUCAGAUAUGCUUUGGUGAUAGUGUAUGCUCACAAACAGGUAAGACUGACACCGUUUUUAGAAAUUCAAAGAGCACUCAUUAUUGCAUAUUGAAAUCAAUCCUUUUCUGACUGGGCUUGACCAGGUGACUUGUUUUAGCCAGUGGGGCAUUAACAAGUGACAUACAGACAGUCUUGAUAAAAUGCCUGUACAUGGGGACUUGGCCUUUUGGAAAGUUCCUUCCUGGGAGCCUGUUGCCAUGCUGUAAAGAAGCUGGGGUGAGUCAUGAAAGGCCACCUGGAGAUGGUUUUGGAGGGUUGGAGUUGUCUUAGAUUUACCAGCUGAAGGCAGCUGCAUGAGCAACAUCGUUGGAGCAGGAGAACCACCAGCUAAACCUUGCCAGGAUGCCAAACAAACAGUAUUUUGUGAAAUAACAAAUUGUUGUUUGGGAGUGGUUGGCUACACAGUGAUGGAAGACUAAAAGAAGCUGUGACAAAUCAUUAACAGCAAACUGUUCCUUUUAAAAGCAAAAACCAUUCAUUAACUUAGUUCUGACUGUUUCUUUUUUUUUUUUUUUUUUUUACCCCUUCCUUAGAUUCCUUCUUACUUCUUUCCAUUGUCUUCAUUUCCCCUUUUCCUGUGGAAGAAUGGAUGAUCUUUCCUCUAGGCAGCAUGAGUUGAGAGACAUGGAAACCCUGCUUACCCCAGAAUAUCUCCUUAUCAGCCUGUCCUGGGAUAACUGCUGUUUAUUCUUCAAUUUAGAAUAUUUGGGAAGUAAUUGACCUGGAGAAGCAUUUCCCAAAAUGUGAUGGGAAUGGCAGGGCUUGUUAUCACUGUUCACAAAGACUGAUACUCCCACCUGUAGAACUCAGCACCUCUGUGAGACUUGCUUUGGCCAAUAAAACAAGAAGUGAAAUGCAUUCUCAGCAGAUGCUUGAAGAACCAGCCCAUGGCCCUUGCCCUUGCCACUGUGGAUGCAUGGAUUGAGAUAAAGCCUCUGUUUGUUUGGGUCCCUGAGACAAUCUGAUUAUAGAGCUCCCUGCUAACCGAUAAUGGACAUAAUAGACAUAUAGCAUAAGUGAGAAACAAUGUUUUAUGCUGCUGAAAUGUUUCACGUUGUUUGUUACUACAGCAAAAUUUAACCUGUUUGGAUGGAUAUAAUCCUUUCAUAUGAAGUGUGUUAACCUUUUGUCUCUGAUAUAAAUUUCAGAUAAUCU